GAUGAACGCUGGCGGCGUGCUUAACACAUGCAAGUCGAACGAAGCAUUUGCGACAGAUUUUUUCGGAAUGAAGUUGCUUAUGACUGAGUGGCGGACGGGUGAGUAACGCGUGGGUAACCUGCCUUGUACUGGGGGAUAGCAGCUGGAAACGGCUGGUAAUACCGCAUAAGCGCACAAUGUUGCAUGACAUGGUGUGAAAAACUCCGGUGGUAUAAGAUGGACCCGCGUCUGAUUAGCUAGUUGGUGAGAUAACAGCCCACCAAGGCGACGAUCAGUAGCCGACCUGAGAGGGUGACCGGCCACAUUGGGACUGAGACACGGCCCAGACUCCUACGGGAGGCAGCAGUGGGGAAUAUUGCACAAUGGAGGAAAAUCUGAUGCAGCGACGCCGCGUGAGUGAAGAAGUAAUUCGUGAUGUAAAGCUCUAUCAGCAGGGAAGAUAGUGACGGUACCUGACUAAGAAGCGCCGGCUAAAUACGUG
rnacentral:rRNA from 1 species